rnacentral:rRNA from 1 species
CUCCCUUCUGACGAACCAUGAUGUUCAUUUAUUUGGUGUUGUGGGGAAUCAGGACUGUCACUUUGAAAAAAUUAGAGUCGUUUAAAGCAGGCUCACGCUUGAAUACAUUAGCAUGGAAUAAUGAAAUAGGACGUUUUGAUUCUAUUUUGUUGGUUUCUAGGAUCGACAUAAUGAUUAAUAGGGAUAGUUGGGGGCAUUAGUAUUCAAUUGUCAGAGGUGAAAUUCUUGGAUUUAUUGAAGACUAACUACUGCGAAAGCAUUUGCCAAGGAUGUUUUCAUUAAUCAAGAACGAAAGUUAGGGGAUCGAAGACGAUCAGAUACCGUCGUAGUCUUAACCAUAAACUAUGCCGACUAGGGAUCGGAUGAUGUUAAUUUUUUAAUGACUCAUUCGGCGCCUUACG